AUGUGUGGACUUCCAUCGCUCGCUCUCGUCGCUGGUGGCACUCUCCGCGUGUGGCCAUCCAUUGCACACGCUCCUCGCCUGUUGUGCUGUCUGCACAUGCUCUCCUCCGAGAGCCAGUUGCUCGCCAGUCGUUGCCUUCGUCCGAUCAUUCCCGCCUCCGCAGCCGGCUUCCCGUCGCCCGCUGCUGGUCUUCAUAUGCCAGACCAGUCCGAUGGCUUUUUGAGCGGUGGUCGUUUCACCGGCACCGUCUCGCACAUACACCUUCUGUCGGUGUUGGGGCUCAUCCGCUAG
rnacentral:rRNA from 1 species